rnacentral:misc_RNA from 1 species
GAUGAAGAACGUAGCGAAAUGCGAUAAGUAAUGCGAAUUGCAGAAUUCCAGUGAGUCAUCGAAUCUUUGAACGCACAUUGCGCCCCCUGGUAUUCCGGGGGGCAUGCCUGUUCGAGCGUCAUUUCACCACUCAAGCCUCGCUUGGUAUUGGGCAUCGCGGUCCGCCGCGUGCCUCAAAUCGACCGGCUGGGUCUUCUGUCCCCUAAGCGUUGUGGAAACUAUUCGCUAAAGGGUGUUCGGGAGGCUACGCCGUAAAACAACCCCAUUUCUAAGGUUGACCUCGGAUCAGGUAGGGAUACCCGCUGAACUUAAGCAUAUCAAUAAGCGGAGGA